CGCUGGAUUGAGAUUUAAUCCUCUGCUUGCUGGAUAAUAUGAGAGAAGAAGAGAACAUGGGGAGAUUGCUUAAGCCUGCCAGAGUCCCUGUAGGCCACGCCAAGUAGCUUUAGCAGUGUUCUGCUCUG
rnacentral:lncRNA from 1 species